UACGGGGGGGGCAAGCGUUGUUCGGAAUUACUGGGCGUAAAGGGCUCGUAGGCGGCCAACUAAGUCAGACGUGAAAUCCCUCGGCUUAACCGGGGAACUGCGUCUGAUACUGGAUGGCUUGAGUUUGGGAGAGGGAUGCGGAAUUCCAGGUGUAGCGGUGAAAUGCGCAGAUAUCAGGAGGAACACCGGUGGCGAAGGCGGUGAUCUGGGCCGGUACUGACGCUGAGGAGCGAAAGCGUGGGGAGCGAACAGG
rnacentral:rRNA from 1 species